UUACCUGGAUGAGCUGAAUUAGGCUCAGAUGGCCAAUCGAUUGAUCUUGCAAGAUGAUGAGGGCAUUUAGUUUGAAGGUAG
rnacentral:snoRNA from 1 species